ACAAUAGCUUUAAACACACACAAACAAACACACACACCUGCAGUCACUAUCAGAAAACUCCCAUUGCAACAUAAACAAGACACUCAUAGCUUGGCUGAAUCCAAACACUGAGGCAUAUUGUGGUGACCUUAUUUAGAAGCUUGGGUUAUUGGAUUGUACACAGCAGCACCUGAUAGGAAUGUGUAUUCACAAGAGUAUGUAUACAGAACUGUUUAGGAUACUUGUUUGAAUAUUGUUUCACAAAUUGAAUUUCAUAGCUUUCUAGCCAUGGUGCAUGGUGGGAGAAUUGUAACACCCAACCAUAAGCUAAGCGUUUAGAAAAAUUACAAUGCCAGAGCUUUUCCAACAUGGAACUUUAAAUUGGUCUUCAUGGUUUGCAACUUUUUCUUUUCCAUACCUGUUGUUUUGUCUAUUGUAAUCCUAGUAAAGUUAUUUUUUUCCUUGACAUAUACUUUAUAUAGGGUGUAAUUUUCCGUUUCUCCACUGGUGGCAGUCAACAUUUUAAACAUUGUUUUUUGGGAUUUGUUCGGAGUGAUCAUCCUUCCAUUGUUUUGAUCUUUGGCGUUUUUUCCAUAUGAGCAAAAGGCAGCGAGUGAAAGGAAGAAAAAAGACCUGAACGAGGUAAAAAAAAAGAGAAAAAAGACAAAAAUAAUGAAACUGUUGUUGAUUAAAACAGUAUUUGAAAAAAAAAAAAAGAAAAAAAAAACGAAUUUCCAACAGUUAGUGUGUACCCAGGAAGUAGAUAAAUGUGGUGAAAACCAAGGAUGGACUUGCAACCCCAUUUUGUGACAUAUUAGGCUGCUAAAUUCAGUGUAUUGCCUGAUAAAAAUAGGGGAAAUUAAAACCAAAUGUUAUUAAAAAAAAACCAGUAGGUAACUAAGGAAAUAUGUGAUCAAUAGGGGGUUUUUUUUUGUUCAAGUUUAAUGUGUGAAGUCUCCUAAGUUCACCACGUGUUGCAGGCUAAUUACUCAGCAAGCUAGCUUUGACUUGUCGGUUUUUUUUACAUGUUAAUUAAUUUUGUUGUGUAUUUUGAGUUUAAACUUCCUGAAAAGGAAAACACUGAAGCAAUAGAAAUAAUGUUAAAAGGUUACUAUGGACAAUAUUUAAUUAUUUUCUGCACAUUUGUGUUUUUUUUUUUUUUUUUUUUGGAGUUCACCUGGAUCCCGGCCUUCAUUUUUCAUCUCAUCUACCAUGAUCAUCAUCCCAUCAUCUUCUCAUCUCUAAUCCCCUCAACUCACCUCUCAUCACCUUCUGGAAAUCUCCAUUUGGGCUGCAGGAACAAAAGCACAGGUCUUCCUGGUCAGAAAAUGUUAUACUUCAUAACAAAACCUUCUUGUGGAACACCGGGGAAAUCUUCCUGCUGCAGUACAAGCAUCUGAAGUGUUGUAAGAAUGGACAAUAAAACUUAGAAACAUCACAGCAGUGAUGGCAAUUUUUAAAAUUUUUUGAAGAAUAUUUGAAGCAAAGGAGAAGAAGUUUGACGUUGAGAAAACCAAGUGAAACAGUAAGCAUACAAGUUGAACCAUAGAUCUCAUGAUAUGCUUGCAGAAAUACAUUACACAGCAACCACAGCAUGGUAUUUUCUCCCAAAGCUGGUAUCCUACCAAGUUAAAUCUCCAGUGAAAUGGCAUCUCAUUUUUCACCCAGUGUUUAUUAAAAAAAACAGCCAAUGUGUUGUGUUGGUCUGGUACAAAAGGUACAGAUGCCAAGAUGAUUACCCUAGUGUUCAGUGGGGUUGAUAUCAGAAACCGCUGACAUACCAUUCCAUCCUCUUUACCAAAAACUCUGGUGAGUGUUGUACCCUGGAAUCUUGCAUGAUUAGGUACAGUCCCUGACUGUGGAGAUCUGAGAUUGUCACUGUUUAUUUCUUUAUUCAGAUACCUUCAAGCAAUUACUAGCAUUUCAUUCUCCAGGGAGGAAAACAAUAUGACUAUUGUGCUACACAUAUUAAGGUCUGUAUAGUAUUUUUCACACCUUAACUUAAUCUCGUUACCUUUGCAAUGAAUAUCUGUUAACAUGAGCUCACACUUAGUCCAACAAGACAUUUCUUAAAUAAAAUAAAUAGUAAACAAAUAAAAAAUAAUAUAAGUCUUAAGGUCUCCAUAGAGUUUCCACAUCCUUUAGAUACCCUCGUAACGAGAUCUAGUCAUGUUCAUCAAAGCAUUUCAUCCAAAAACAGUUGUAAAUCCUUACAAAAAAAUAGCCAUCUCAAAAGCUUUACAUUCACCAUUAGCAAACAAAAUAAUACUUUGGGACCCAACACUGAUCCAUGUGGAACUUCACAUACAAAACUUUGUAACCCCCCUGAAUGUAUAAACUGUUGUCUGUUUUGUUGAAUAAAACCUGAUCUUGUCUAGUAA